rnacentral:rRNA from 1 species
GACGAACGCUGGCGGCGCGCUUAACACAUGCAAGUCGAACGGAAAGGCCUGCUUUCCCUUGUGGAUUGCGGGUACUCGAGUGGCGAACGGGUGAGUAACACGUGAGUGAUCUGCCCCCAACUUGGGUAUAAGCCUGGGAAACUGGGUCUAAUUCCCGAUAGGACUGCAGGGUGGUGCCUGUGGUGGAAAACGAUUUUCUAGUGGUUGGGGAUGAGCUCGCGGCCUAUCAGCUUGUUGGUGGGGUAAUGGCCUACCAAGGCGGCGACGGGUAGCCGGCCGGGGAGGGUGGACGGCCACAUUGGGACUGAGAUACAGCCCAGACUCCUACGGGAGGCAGCAGUGGGGAAUAUUGCACAAUGGGCGGAAGCCUGAUGCAGCGACGCCGCGUGGGGGAUGACGGCCUUCGGGUUGUAAACUCCUUUCGACCGCGAGGAAGCCACCUGGUUGGAAGGGUGGUGACGGUAGUGGUAGAAGAAGCACCGGCUAACUACGUG